GAUCUCCUACGGGAGGCAGCAGUGGGGAAUAUUGGACAAUGGGCGCAAGCCUGAUCCAGCCAUGCCGCCUGAGUGAUGAAGGCCUUAGGGUUGUAAAGCUCUUUCGCUAGGGAAGAUAAUGACGGUACCUAGUAAAGAAGCCCCGGCUAACUUCGUGCCAGCAGCCGCGGUAAUACGAAGGGGGCUAACGUUGUUCGGAUUUACUGGCGUAAAGCGCACGUAGGCGGAUUAGUCAGUUAAGGGGUGAAAUUUCCGGAGCUCAACUCCGGAACUGCCUUUAAUACUGCUAGUCUUGAGAUCGGGAGAGGUGUAUGGAACUCCUAGUGUAGAGGUGGAAUUCGUAGAUAUUAGGAAGAACACCAGUGGCGAAGGCGGCA
rnacentral:rRNA from 1 species